rnacentral:lncRNA from 1 species
GGAGAUGGACCAGCUGGAGCAAAAGAGUCAGAAAGAACCCGAAUUGGAGAUUUUCACGAGCGGAACAACCUUGCAGGCUGUUCUCGAGAGUGUGGAGCAACCCGAGUGCAUGUUCCCGCGGCAUAGGUUUUUAUGGAAACUUCUAAUAUUUCGGGAUUUGCCCUAAUCAACCCAAUUUUAUCUUAUGCAGCCGCCAGAGACCUGCAGUAUAUCUUUUCUUAUUUUCUACUCCCUCCGGAUUUGAAUAUAUGAUGUUUUAGUUUUUUUUUCUU